rnacentral:rRNA from 5 species
UAAACGACUCUCGGCAACGGAUAUCUCGGCUCUCGCAUCGAUGAAGAACGUAGCGAAAUGCGAUACUUGGUGUGAAUUGCAGAAUCCCGUGAACCAUCGAGUCUUUGAACGCAAGUUGCGCCCUAAGCCAUUAGGCCGAGGGCACGCCUGCCUGGGCGUCACAC